rnacentral:rRNA from 1 species
UACGUAGGGUGCAAGCGUUAUCCGGAAUUAUUGGGCGUAAAGAGCUCGUAGGCGGUUUUGUCGCGUCUGCUGUGAAAAACUGGAGGCUCAACCUCCAGCCUGCAGUGGGGUACGGGCAGACUAGAGUGCGGUAGGGGGAGAUUGGAAUUCCUGGUGUAGCGGUGGAAUGCGCAGAUAUCAGGAGGAACACCGAUGGCGAAGGCAGAUCUCUGGGCCGUAACUGACGCUGAGGAGCGAAAGCAUGGGGAGCGAACAGG